AAUAUGAGGAAACAAAAACAUUCUCCAACGAGUUCUUCAGCUCGGGGAAUGAGAGAAUAGAUUCACCUUUGUGUCGCUUUUCAGAUCGUAUUUUAAUUCCUUUCCGAAUAUGGACGGCACUCCAGUACAGCAUGUGCAUGGUUGGACCUGUUGACAUUUUUAGAAACGCAUCUUGGUCUAUUAUACAGAGUAUUGUUGUACUGCUCCAAAGUGCUUGUUGACAGACUGAAACCACUUGCUUGCGGCUCAUAAGGUUCACUUCUUGAGAGCAGGCAGCUACAAAAUGGAAGGUCAACAAAUCCAGUAUGCUUGAAAAGCAAGAAAGAAACACCAGAAAAUAUAAAAAGACAGAAGAACAAGGGAACUUUAAUAAAAAAACAAAACUUUUAAGGAUAGGAAUUCAGGAUUUACUUAGAAACUAAAUUUAUUUUGAGAACAGCAGUGUUUGACUAAGCUCUGUUACUUUAAGAGAUAAUGUAUUAUCACAUUGGUUUUGUUAUUGUCGAGCCCGCUUGCAGAAGCGAAGACAUAGUUGUCCAAAUGUCUAUUCGGUGUAUGUGCGUGCGUGCGUCCAAAUUUUUUUGUCCGGACCAUAAUUUGGACAUGCAUGGAGCAAUCUUGUUUAUAUAUGGUAUGAAUGUUAACCUCAGUGAGACGGAGUGUCAUGCGCAAGCCCCAGGUUCCUUUCUCAAAGGUCAAGAUCACACUUACAGGUCAAAGGUCAAAUUCAAAAAUGACUUUGUCCGGAGCAUUUCUUCUUCAUGCAUGGAGGGAUUUUGAUGUAACUUGGCACAAUUGUUCCCCAUCAUGAGAUGGAGUGUCGUGCGCAAGAACCAGGUCCCUAGGUCUAAGGUCAAGGUCACACUUAGAGGUCAAAGGAUACAAGAAUGACAACUUUGUCUGGAGCAUUUCUUCUUCAUGCAUGGAGGGACUUUGAUGUAACUUGGCACAAAUGUUCACCACCAUGAGACGGAGUGUCAUGCGGAAGAACCAGGUCCCUAGGUCUAAGGUCAAGGUCACACUUAGAGGUCAAAGGAUACAAGAAUGACAACUUUGUCUGGAGCAUUUCUUCUUCAUGCAUGGAGGGACUUUGAUGUAUCUUGGCACAAAUGUUCACCACCAUGAGACGGAGUGUCAUGCGGAAGAACCAGGUCCCUAGGUCUAAGGUCAAGGUCACACUUAGAGGUCAAAAGUCAGAUACAAGAAUGACUUUGUCUGGAGCAUUUCUUUUUGAUGCAUUGAGGGAUUUUGAUUUAACUUGGCACAAUUGUUCAUCAUCAUGCGACGGAGUGUCAUGCAUAAGGUCCUAGAAUUACUUCCCUUUGUUGUUACUAUAAAUAGCUUACAUUUGUAACUUUUUUAUUACUGGUCGUAGGGAAAAAUCAAGACCACUUUUCUGUAGUACAACAUGCAUGUUACAUCCAAUUUUCAGGUGUAUUUUGACCUAUCUCUGCUGGUGCGGAUUUUUGUGUGGACUUGUAAUUUUUUUUUUUUUUUUUUUUUUUUUUUUUUUUUUUUUUUUUCUUAAUUUUACGUUCCUUUGUUGUUACUGUAAAUAACUUAUAUUGUAACUUUUUGCAAUCUCUUUUAUUUGGCAUAAAUGUUUGCCUCAAUGAGACAAGGAGUGUCAUGCACACCUCCCAGUCCUUUUGACAGCUGGCGGGCUUGACAUAGUGCCCGUGGGCAUCUAGUUCUCAUAUUUUUCAUGAGAUUUUAAAGACAAUGUUCUGUUAUACCCCCAUGUAGUAAGCUUGUCUGUCUUUCAGUAAGUAGGUUUUCAUGGCUUCCAGAUGAUAACUCAUGAAAAGCUUGACCGAUUUAAAUAUUUUUUGGUACAUAGCUACAGGUCAAGUUCGACUUUGGGGUCAGUAGGUCAAAGGUCAAGAUAACUUGCAAACGCUUUGGCCUGGGAUCAUAGCUUUUGUAACCCAGGUGUAACAUGAUAAAAUACAGGUUGUUUGAAUUUGAGGUCAAUAGAUCAAAGGUCAAGGUCACAGUGACCUUGAACAGUUGAACUGUUUCCGAAUGAUAACUUUGGACCUUGAGCCUAGAAUGAUAAAGUUUGGUACACAGGUGUCACAUCAUGAAAUACAGGUCAAGUUUUACUUUGAGGUCAGUAGGUCAAGGUCACAAUAAGGCAAAACAGUGAAAUGUUUUUCAGAUUAUAACUUGAGAAUGCUUGAGCCUAGGAUCAUGAAAAUUGUUAGGGAGGUUAAUUAUGACCAGCAGGUGACCCCUAAUGAUGUUGAGGUCAGUAGGUCACAGGUCAAGGUCACACUGACCCGGUUCUUUAAAAUGAUGCAUGGAGGGGCACCUGGGUUCCUCCACCAUUAAAACUGGAAAGUCGCCAUAUGACCUAUCCUGUGUUGCUGUGAUGUUAAGUUCAACAAAAUAAAUAACGGUUCUUUAAAACGGUUUUUGGACAAUAACUUCAGGAUGCUUGGGAUGAGAAACACAAAAUUAAGUACAAGGUUUGUCUUAACCAGCAGAUUACCUGUAUUGAUUUAGAGUUCCAAAGGUCAGGAUGACCCGGAACAUUUAAACCUUUUCCAUACAAUAACUUGAGAACACUUAGGCGGAGGAUCAUGAAACUAUGGAGAUUGAAUUUGAGGUCAUUAGGUCAUAGCUCAAGAAAAUGCUGCUUUGAUAUUGGCUUAGUUCUGUGAUAAGGCCAUAUUGUAGGGGUAUGAUUCGUCACUCCUGUGACAACUCUAGCGUUUAGCUCACCUGAGCACAAAGUGCUCAAGGUAAGUUUUGUGAUCACCCUGUGUCCGUCCGUCGUCAACAGUUUGACUGUUAACACAUUUUGACCUAAUCUUUAUGAAACUUGGUCAGAAUGUUACCCUCAAUAAAAUCUUGGACACAUUUGAUGUUGGGUUAUCUUGGAUCAAAAACUAGGUCACCAAGUCAAAUCAAAGGAAAAGCUUGUUAACACCGUAGAGGUCACAUUUAAGACUAUAUCUUUAUGAAACUUGGUCAGAAUGUUAAUCUUGAUGAUCUCAAGGACCAUUCUGAAUCUGGGUUAUGUAGGGUCAAAAACUAGGUCACUAGGACAAAUCAAAGGAAAAGCUAGUUUACACUCUAGAAGCCAAAUUUAUGACCAUAUCUUAAUGAAACUUGGUCAAAAUGUUAAUCUUAAUGAUCCAUAGAUCAGAUUCAAAUCUGGGUCAAGUGGGGUCAAAAACUAGGUCACCAGGUUAAAUAAAGGGAAAAGCUUGUUAACGCUCUAGAGGUCACAAUUUUGGCCCAAUCAUAAUGAAACUUGGUCAAAAUGUUACCCUCAAUAAAAUAUUGGACAAGUUUGAUAUUGGGUCGUCUAGGGUCAAAAACUAGGUCACCAGGUCAAAUAAAAGGAAAAGCUUGUUAACACUGUAGUGGCCACAUUUAUGACCAUAUCUUAAUGAAACUUUGUCAGAAUUUUAAUCUUGAUGAUCUACAGGCCAAUUUAAAUCUAGUGUAGGUGGGAUUAAAAAUUAGGUCACUAGGUCAAAUCAAAGGAACAGCUUGUUAACACUCCAGAGGCCACAUUUAUGACUGCAUCUUCAUGAAACUUAAUUGAUGAUCUUUCAGUCAAGUUUGAAUCUGGGUCAUGUGGGGUCAAAAACUAGGUCACCAAGUCAAAUCAAAGGAAAAGCUAGUUAACUCUUUAGAGGCUACAUUUAUGAUUAUAUCUUAAUGUAACUUGGUCAGAAUGUUGAUCUUGAUGAUCUUUAUGUCAAUAUGUCAGGUGAGUGAUACAGGACCAUCAUGGCCCCUCUUGUUUAUUUGUUCUUGUUGUAAGAGAAAUUGUACAUUUUAGAAUACAGAUUACAGCAAGUCACAUUUUCUUUAUUUUGACAAUAGUUAUUUCAAAGCCUGACAAAAGCAUCCAGUACUGUUAUUAAAAGUUGUUAUUCACAGUUCAGCUAUAUUUCAUGUAUGGAUAAAACAAGUUAUGUGAUCUGUGAUCAUUAUAAAUGUGUAUACAGAUAAAACUUAAACAUGUGAACAGUUUAUUUAAUAAAUAAAGUGUAAUGCAA